UAUUCGUCAAUGGGGGAAACCCUGAACGAGCAAUGCCGCGUGAACGAUGACGGUCCUCUGGGUUGUAAAGUUCUGUUGUUUGGGAAGAACGGCUCUAAUAGGAAAUGAUUAGAGAUUGACUGUACCAUUCAAGAAAGCCACGGCUAACUACGUGCCAGCAGCCGCGGUAAUACGUAGGUGGCGAGCGUUAUCCGGAUUUAUUGGGUUUAAAGGGUGCGUAGGCGGGCUGUUAAGUCAGCGGUCAAAUGUCGGGGCUCAACCCCGGCCUGCCGUUGAAACUGGCGGCCUCGAGUGGGCGAGAAGUAUGCGGAAUGCGUGGUGUAGCGGUGAAAUGCAUAGAUAUCACGCAGAACUCCGAUUGCGAAGGCAGCAUACCGGCGCCCUACUGACGCUGAGGCACGAAAGCGUGGGUAUCGAACAGG
rnacentral:rRNA from 1 species